rnacentral:rRNA from 1 species
GUGCCAGCCGCCGCGGUAAGACGUGGGGUGCAAGCGUUGUCCGGAGUGACUGGGCGUAAAGGGCGUGUAGGCGGCCUGAUAAGUCUUGGUUGAAAGCCCACGGCUCAACCGUGGAUUCGGCAAAGAUACUGUGAGGCUAGACGGCGAGAGGGGCAGACAGAAUUCCCGGUGAAGGAGUAAAAUCCGUUGAUAUCGGGAGGAAUACCAGUGGCGAAGGCGGUCUGCUAGCUCGCUCGUAACGCUGAGGCGCGACAGUCUGGGUAGCGAAAGGGAUUAGAUACCCCCGUAGUCC